GACGUAGGGCGCGAGCGUUGUCCGGAUUUAUUGGGCGUAAAGAGCUCGUAGGCGGCUUGUCGCGUCGACUGUGAAAACCCGUGGCUCAACCAUGUGGUCUGCAGUCGAUACGGGCAGGCUAGAAUUCGGUAGGGGAGACUGGAAUUCCUGGUGUAGCGGUGAAAUGCGCAGAUAUCUGCAGGAACACCCGUGGCGAAAGCGGCGCGCUGGACCACUACUGACGCUGAGGAACGAAAGCUAGGGGAGCAAACAGG
rnacentral:rRNA from 1 species